rnacentral:rRNA from 1 species
AUAUUGCGCAAUGGGCGAAAGCCUGACGCAGCGACGCCGCGUGAGGGACGACGGCCUUCGGGUUGUAAACCUCUUUCAGCUCUGACGAAGCGAAAGUGACGGUAGGAGCAGAAGAAGCACCGGCCAACUACGUGCCAGCAGCCGCGGUAAUACGUAGGGUGCAAGCGUUGUCCGGAAUUAUUGGGCGUAAAGAGCUCGUAGGCGGUUUGUCGCGUCGAAGGUGAAAACCCGGGACGCAACUCCGGGCCUGCAUUCGAUACGGGCAGACUAGAGUUCGGUAGGGGAGACUGGAAUUCCUGGUGUAGCGGUGAAAUGCGCAGAUAUCAGGAGGAACACCGGUGGCGAAGGCGGGUCUCUGGGCCGAUACUGACGCUGAGGAGCGAAAGCGUGGGGAGCAAACAGGA